UACCAGCACCCCGAGUGGUCGGGACGAUUAUUGGGCCUAAAGCAUCCGUAGCCGGUCAUGCAAGUCCUCCGUUAAAUCCACCUGCUUAACAGAUGGGCUGCGGAGGAUACUACAAGGCUAGGAGGCGGAAGAGGCAAGCGGUACUCAGUGGGUAGGGGUAAAAUCCGUUGAUCCAUUGAAGACCACCAGUGGCGAAGGCGGCUUGCCAAUACGCGCUCGACGGUGAGGGAUGAAAGCUGGGGGGAGCAAACCGG
rnacentral:rRNA from 1 species